rnacentral:rRNA from 1 species
AUGUGCCUACGGGGGGCAGCAGUGGGGAAUAUUGCACGAUGGGGGAAACCCUGAUGCAGCAACGCCGCGUGAGUGAUGACGGCCUUCGGGUUGUAAAGCUCUGUCUUCAGGGACGAUAAUGACGGGACCUGAGGAGGAAGCCACGGCUAACUACGUGCCAGCAGCCGCGGGAAUACGUAGGUGGCGAGCGUUGUCCGGAUUUACUGGGCGUAAAGGGAGCGUAGGCGGACUUUUAAGUGA